AUGUCGUCACAACGCCGCCAAACUAGCCCUAAGAAGUUUAACAUUGCUACUUUUGUGAAUAUCAUUCUAGUUGAUGCCGCCUUUGUCAUUGAGCUAUUGUUGAGGAAUAAAUCCGAAGAAAAAUUUCAGGAAGAAAAAUUGCAGGAUGAUGAUGCUUGGAUAUUUAAAAAACCAUGGGUGCUACAAAAUAUAUUGCCUGACAUGCUUAUGCUCGUAAAUCAGCUGCCAUUUUUCAUUCUCGAGGAUCUUUACAAUCUCACAGGUGCUCAGACUGGGGAGCCUUCAAUAAUUGAACUCUCUUACAAGUUCUUCCAACAGGCACUGCGUUUAGAAAACUUGGAGAACUCACCAGCCUUCCGUAAGUCUUUUAUGCCUCCUGAUCCUAAAAAACCUUUACAUUUUGUUGAUUUUAUUAGAACUUUACAUCUGCCAAAAGAAAAAAAAAUGGAGGGCUCCAAAGUACACCCAGCAUGACAAAACUACACCAGGCCGGAGUUAAGUUUAACGUGGGAUCAAGCAAGAACUUAUUCGAUAUACAGUUCAAGAAAAACACCUUGGAAAUUCCAAAAAUUGAAAUACAUGAUUACACAGCUUACACAUAGAAAUCUCAUUGCCUUUGAACAAGGCCAUUGCGUGGAUAAAUACAUAAGCGAUUAUGUUUUCAUCCUGGAUAAAUUUGUAAACACCCCAAAGGAUGUAGAGUUGCUUGUUGACAAUGGAAUUGUUGUAAACACGCUAGGUGACAACAAUAAGGUUUCCAUUAUGAUUAACAAGCUUUGCAGUAAAGUUGCUCCGAACCACGGAAACUACUAUUUUGGUGAUCUUGCUGGCAAACUAAACGAGUACUGCAAGAAGACCACGAACAGACGGAAGGCAAAUUUGAGACAAAAGUAUUUCAACACACCUUGGGCAGCUAUUUCUCUCUUUGCAGCUAUUAUUCUUCUGAUACUCAUUGUCAUACAAACAGUGUGCUCUAUUAUCUCUGUUAUUGAUCAAGUAUUAGCAGCAGGGCCGUUCCUGAGAUUUUGA